GUGGUGCAAAUGGUUUGUGUUUGACUGGUAAUCAAAAGGUUGGUAGUUCAAAUCCACCCAACAACA
rnacentral:tRNA from 1 species